AGAGUUUGAUCAUGGCUCAGAACGAACGCUGGCGGCAGGCCUAACACAUGCAAGUCGAACGCCGUAGCAAUACGGAGUGGCAGACGGGUGAGUAACGCGUGGGAACAUACCCCUCGGUUCGGAAUAACUCAGGGAAACUUGAGCUAAUACCGGAUACGUCCGAGGUCUUAAGCGGCCUUGGAGAAAGAUUUAUCGCCGGAGGAUUGGCCCGCGUCUGAUUAGCUUGUUGGUGAGGUAAUGGCCCACCAAGGCGACGAUCAGUAGCUGGUCUGAGAGAUGAUCAGCCACAUUGGGACUGAGACACGGCCCAAACUCCUACGGGAGGCAGCAGUGGGGAAUAUUGGACAAUGGGCGAAAGCCUGAUCCAGCCAUGCCGCGUGAGUGAUGAAGGCCUUAGGGUUGUAAAGCUCUUUUACCCGGGAAGAUAAUGACGGUACCGGGAGAAUAAGCCCCGGCUAACUUCGUGCCAGCAGCCGCGGUAAUACGAAGGGGGCUAGCGUUGUUCGGAAUUACUGGGCGUAAAGCGCACGUAGGCGGAUCUUUAAGUCAGGGGUGAAAUCCCGAGGCUCAACCUCGGAACUGCCUUUGAUACUGGGGAUAUCGAGUCCGGGAGAGGUGAGUGGAACUGCGAGUGUAGAGGUGAAAUUCGUAGAUAUUCGCAAGAACACCGUGGCGAAGGCGGCUCACUGGCCCGGUACUGACGCUGAGGUGCGAAAGCGUGGGGAGCAAACAGGAUUAGAUACCCCCGUAGUCC
rnacentral:rRNA from 1 species